rnacentral:rRNA from 1 species
GAUGAACGCUAGCGGCAGGCCUAACACAUGCAAGUCGAGGGAGAAGCCCUUCGGGGCGGAAACCGGCGCACGGGUGCGUAACGCGUAUGCAACCUACCUUUCACAGGGGGAUAGCCCGAAGAAAUUUGGAUUAAUACCCCAUAAUAUUAUUGGGUGGCAUCAUCUGAUAAUUAAAAUUACGAUGGUGGAAGAUGGGCAUGCGUCCUAUUAGCUAGUUGGAGUGGUAACGGCACCCCAAGGCUACGAUAGGUAGGGGUCCUGAGAGGGAGAUCCCCCACACUGGUACUGAGACAGGGACCAGACUCCUACGGGAGGCAGCAGUGAGGAAUAUUGGUCAAUGGUCGGAAGACUGAACCAGCCAUGCCGCGUGCAGGAAGAAUGCCUUAUGGGUUGUAAACUGCUUUUAUAUGGGAAGAAUAAGGAGCACGUGUGCUUGAUGACGUACCAUAUGAUAAGCUCG